rnacentral:lncRNA from 1 species
GUGGGGGUUAUACAAGGGCAGAGAGACAUAAAAAUCCAGUGAGCUGGAGCUGACGAUUUGUAUGCUUUGUUAUAUAUAUUAUACAGCAAUAAGUUUUUUAAGUGCUUCCUCAUAACCACCUGUGAAUUAGGUCCCACGGUUAUUAUAAUCAUCUCCAUUCUACAGAGGAGGCAACUCACUUUCAAGAGAAGCUGUAGAAGCCCCAGGCCUCCACGAAAGUAAAUAACGCAGUUUCCUCCUCUCCUGUCCCUACUUCAAAUAGUUAAUCUCUUUCUCUGCCAGCAGAUUUCUCAGGUACCAGGAACCAGCGCGGUCCAUCUCCGCUCGGGUGUGUGGCGGCCGCCGCUUCUACAAGGCUUUUUUAGCCUUUGUGUAGAGAGAGGGUCCCGGAGGGCGGGGUGCCCAGAGGCUCGGGGAUCAGAGGGCCCCAUUUGCGCCUCCCCCCUGUGAGGAGGGCGGCCUCCUGGACUAAACUCCGGAUUCCAGUCACCCCUGCCCACGUGCACCCUACCCCAGAGCCCGAGGCCCCGGGGGACCGCUCCAGGUCGGGACGACUUCCCCGCGGUCCCCGCAGCCCUGCGGUUUCUCAAAAGCAGAGCGAUCCCAUAUUUGAUCCUCCCUCUGGGGAGCGAAUCUGAUCAGGGCCUUGCUGGUUCUCCUCCUUGCUCUCCAGCCCCUUCAAAAGACCCAGAGGGAGACUCUUGCAGCUGGAAAUGACUGCCUGGGACCCAGAGUCCAGCAGUGAGCUUCGCCUCCGUGGAGGACAGGCCGGAACGGUGAAAGGGUCUCGAACGGACACCGCGUCAGGAGCGCUGCUGUGUGUCCGCGGGGGAGGGCCACAGGUGCAGGGUUUUAGCAGGCUGUGACAUAGAGGGCUCAACUGGUUUCACUGUACAUCCCAUCUGUUGAGGAAUCAGAGAGCUUUGGAAGUGGACACUCAGAAAAACACAAACAGGUACAGCACAGAAAAUUUGAUGACUUCCCGUGACUGCUUCUUUGAGAGUGAGCAUUUAAUGGAAUAUCCUAUGUCCGUAUAUUAUAGGAUCGCCUCUCUUUGGUUU